CCCGGUCCCGGCCGCCCCCAACAGUAAGAGUUUAUGUGCGGUGAGAGCUGGAAUCUGCAUGUGAACUCCUACUGCUCCGGGCGGCGGGGCACAGCGGC
rnacentral:pre_miRNA from 1 species